UCUAGUCUCCAGGUUUAAUGUUUGUCUCUAAAAAGUCAAAUACUACUGAGCAAUUCCUACUAAAGUAUUGUUUAAUAGGUGCCUUUUCUCAAAAGUUUUUUUUUGUUUUUUGUUUGUUUUUUUUUACUAUAGACAAUUGCUUCCUAUGGCAUUAGCAUUUUCUAAAGGUCUGAAUUUCAAAGGAAAGAGUAAACCCAACAGUCUUGAGAAGAAGUUUUUGUUUUAUGCUGUCUCAUCACUUUUGGUCUUACAUAAAAGAGCCUGACAUUCUGGAUACAUGGGAGAUGCACAAAUCACUUUAGAUGAGGGGCAGAAGACAAAGAACAGCUACAGACCAAGUCAGGGGUCAUCCUCAAGAGAGACUCCAUACCACAAGCAGGGAAGGGGAGUUAGCACACCAGCAGUAGCAACUCACUUACCUUUAGCAGACCAACCGCUCCCGUUGCCAGUACGACUCUGCCUCCUUUGAUCUGAAGGGACCUAGAAGAGCUUUACAGGAAGACACAUUUCUUUCUUCCUUUCUUCCUUCUCAAACAAGCUAUCCCACUCACCCCUUGUAAAACAGAUGCCUAGAAUCCACUCUGCUGGUUUGACUGCACCGCAGAUAUGCACGAUUUCAAGGUUACUCCAUUUUUCUUCUCUACCUCAGAGCUAGCAAUGAUAGGCAGUUAAUCCCUACCAGGGUUAAGCAGAUUUCCACACUAAGAAAUGUUUUUUCAGUUGGAUCAGGUACUGAUAUCUUGUCUCAGCCCAGUGUCUCUUACCAAAUAUCCAGACUCAGCUGCAGCAACAAGAACUCCCCCUCUGCAUCCCAGGUGCCUUCUCCACCCUAAUCAGAGCUUUUUAUACUUGACUGAAAACAGCUGGCUGUCUCUCUCUGGCGCUCAGGCCCUCUCUGCACAAGGAGAACAUCCUCCAUCUGACCUCUCUUUGGAGGGUUCAGCAACAUGGAUCUUCUCACUACAUCACACCUCUCUUCACCAAGGAAAAUUUGGAAUUUCCUGGAAUAUGUUCCCAGAGCUACAGAAAGUAAAGUUCCUCCACCCCUCCUGCUAAUUACCAUGAUUGCAUUCUUUCUUUAUCGCCACCUCCUAUGAAUCAGACAACUUCAGCACAGCUGAAGACACUAUGCUGCUAAAUUCUAGGUACAGAGAUAGGCUCUGUCCUCAACAGUCUAGAGGUAAUCAGAAACCUGGAAGAAACUUAAGCAUAAUCUUUCUCUCAAAAAUAUGGCAGAGAUUUCAUAACAUGAAGCCUGUUACAAGCCAGUCAUUCUUUCAGUGGAGCAAAUAGCAACAUUCUCCCAUAAUAUAUGUGAGUAAGCCAUAAAUAAUACGUAACUUACAGCUUUCUGUAUUAAAAAUCCAGUGUUUCAAAGAGGCAGUGGGGGGCAAACUUGAAGACAAAAUCACCAGAAGCUAAGUUGAAGGAAAACUACAGAGUACAGAAAGUCAAAUGCCUAGAAACUUUUAGAUGCUGACAAUAAAAUAAAGAUAAUGCUGAUCAUUGAAGGAUCUGCCACCUGCCACAAAAAAAGAAGGGAAACGAAAUGCAACUUCAGCAGUGAUGGAGCACUGAGUAGUUUGUCUCACCAAGGGAUGACAUUGCAACCUUGUAUUCCAGUCUCCCAGACAUCUCCCAGCUGGAUUGGGCAAAGAACCUAAGGGAUCUCAGAUGAUAGACCAACUUUGUUCUAAUAAUGGAAACAUAAGCCAAAGCUGGAAAACAUAAUGCCAUUCUACUGGCCACUCAAGGUUUAAUAACUAAAUUUCUGGGAUUGUUGUAUUCAACAGUGAUUAAAUACUUACAUAGAAGACUGAAAAUUCACCCAUGCCAAGGAAAUGGCAAAGACAUCUCUUCCAGCAGAGUGCUUCAGCAGGAAUUCAGACACUUGGGCCCAUCGGUUCAUCUUAGUGUGGUCCUGCCUGCCUGUACUACAGGAUAUAAAUGGGACAACCAAGUGGUGGGAUAAGAUGAUAUUGCAGAGCUGAAGACUUAAUUACACACAAAAUUCUUGGAAGACAAUUCAAUAGGAAUGAAAAGAAGCAUCAUUCAGAAAUUGUUUUGUAAUGUUUACUGCUAGAGAUUUUGUGUUUCUGCAAAAACACCUGUUUUGUUUUAAUGUUCUGCUUCUGAUGAGUUCCUUCAUAAAUAUUUCUGGUUUUCAGUGUAAAAAAAUUAAGCUCUUAAUUAAACUGUCAUUGAUGUUUUAAAGCAAUAAAUGUAUUGAAAUAAAUGACAGCAUUUAACAAAA